GAUGAACGCUGGCGGCGUGCUUAACACAUGCAAGUCGAACGGAAAGGCCCAAGCUUGCUUGGGUACUCGAGUGGCGAACGGGUGAGUAACACGUGGGUGAUCUGCCCUGCACUUCGGGAUAAGCCUGGGAAACUGGGUCUAAUACCGGAUAGGACCACAUUUUGGAUGGUGUGGUGGAAAGUUUUUCGGUGUGGGGUGAGCUCGCGGCCUAUCAGCUUGUUGGUGGGGUAAUGGCCUACCAAGGCGUCGACGGGUAGCCGGCCUGAGAGGGUGUACGGCCACAUUGGGACUGAGAUACGGCCCAGACUCCUACGGGAGGCAGCAGUGGGGAAUAUUGCACAAUGGGCGCAAGCCUGAUGCAGCGACGCCGCGUGGGGGAUGACGGCCUUCGGGUUGUAAACUCCUUUCGCUAGGGACGAAGCGUUAUGUGACGGUACCUGGAGAAGAAGCACCGGCUAACUACGUG
rnacentral:rRNA from 1 species